rnacentral:rRNA from 2 species
GACGAACCGAGCAAACGUUAUUCGGAAUCACUGGGCUUAAAGGGCGCGUAGGCGGGCCAUCAAGUCUGUGGUGAAAUCCUCCAGCUCAACUGGAGAACGGCCGCGGAUACUGGUGGUCUCGAGGAAGGUAGGGGCAUCUGGAACUGGUGGUGGAGCGGUGAAAUGCGUUGAUAUCAUCAGGAACUCCGGUGGCGAAGGCGAGAUGCUGGACCUUUUCUGACGCUGAGGCGCGAAAGCCAGGGGAGCGAACGGG